rnacentral:rRNA from 1 species
GAAUCCGUCCAUCGGUCGGGUUUCACUGUGUGGUGGGUCCUUACCUUCUGAAUAACCAGCAUGCCAUUCACUUGGUGAGCUGGGGAAGCAGGACUAUUACCUUGAAAAAAUUAGAGUGUUCAAAGCAGGCCAGUGCCUGAAUACAUUAGCAUGGAAUAAUAAAAUAAGACGGCAUGGUUCUAUUUUGUUAGUUUCUAGGAUCACCGUAAUGAUUAAUAGG